rnacentral:lncRNA from 1 species
UGAAGGUUGUUUGAUUAAGACUUGGGAGUCGCCGACGGUUUGGAUGAAGGAGGUUGUCGUUGGAGUUCGGCUUGUGAGUUGCGAAUGUGGCUUUAAGUCUUCACGCCAUGAAUAGUGAAGUUCAUGUGUUGUUUAUGGUGAAAGUGAAAACAUGUGGUUAUUGUUGUGGCUACAAGGAGAAUGCGGCGAUCGGAAAUGGAGUAAGUGGUUGUGUCGUUGAGUUGUGGUGGUACGGCGGAGAAAUUAUGAUGUAGACGGUGGUUUCCGGAAGAUUAUAGAUCCGGAGGUGGGUAUGGGUUUUUAUGGUUAGUGGCGGAUGGAAAACACAGUGGAAGAAAUGGGGAGGUUUUGCCGGCGAAUAUUGGCGGUGACGGAGGAAUGGAGAAGGUGCGGCGGAUGCGCGUUGAAGGGAGAAUGUGGGUUGUCGUUGGGUUUGUCCAUGGCGGUGGCGGUGGAGUAAGGUGAGAGCGUUUGUGGUCCGCGGAGGAAGAAGAUGAACAGUCCUUUUUUAGUGGACUCCGCUGCCUUUUUCUUAAUGGAGCCUCUUGACCUUUUAUUUCUUUUCUGCAUUUUUCAGCUAGCUCCUCCCUCUCUUGACGUGUCAUCCUUUAAGUGGAUGGCCUUAUCUUUAUUUCCAGCUUUUCUCUUCUUGUUUUUUUGGCCCGUUAGAAUCAUGGCGUUGGAUAACCGCGUGGCACUUUCUCAUUGAAUGGAGAUAAAAUACCUUUGUUGGAGACAGGCUGGCCACGUUCCCCUUCAAUACCAAUCCUAAAACCAAUUUUGUUUUCCCCUUUCAUUGGGAGUUGGACGCGUGGUUGAGGAAUGGGCUCGAAGGAGAAUCCAAUGCAGAUGCUUCCAUCACCCUUUGUUAUUUUGAAUAGCAAUUAAAAUAUAAAAUAAAAUUAACCACUUAAAAUAAAGUCAAGUUAAUCACCCAAUUAAUUCUAAUUAAUUCAAAUGACUAUUUUGGCUAAGAGAUAAAAAUAAAUGGAUCAAUGAUGAAUAAAAGUCAGGCAUAAAAUUUACUCAAAAAAUUAAAUCGGAUGCACUAAAAUGAUCAGCACGAAACAUACUUAUUGGAAAAAUACAGCGUUUCUUUUAAUUUUGAAAUAAAUUUUCACCGGUUAAAAGGCUCAAAUGGAUUAAAAUGCAGCUGAAAAAGUCAUUGAAAAAUAUAACGAGCACACCAGGCUGAACUGCGCGAAGUGUAGAUUAAUAAUACUGGCGUCUGUAAGCUUAAUUUCGAAACUUUUUACCCGCUGAUUUUGCACGUACUUGAGAAGUGAUUUAACCAAUUUAUCUGUGUAGCGGGGUAUUCGUUACCUUUAGAUUUAUUGACUAAAUAAAAAGUAAAUCAUACAAUUCGAGUCGCCACCGCACUUCUAUUUAUCCAAAGGAAAGGUUAGAAAGCGAACAAAAACUGAGAAGUUUAUCGAAUCAAAAACUAAUAAAAAUGUCAGAGAUCGGGGUAAGGGGGUUGGUUAUGCAAUGGGUAGGUUUUAAGCACCCAAAACAUCCUAGGUACUCCUAGGGAGCCCUUUUCACAAUUUGUUGUAAGGUAGGUUGGUAUUUGGAAAAAAUUAUUUGUACAAACAUGAUUGGGGAGAUGAGAGAAGAAUGUACAAAUUAUUUACAAUUUUGUGUUUGAAUGGAUAAACCCAUUGCCUACGUACUAUCUUAAAAAAGGAUUAGGAUCAAAACCUCGUAGUUCGGGAUAAAAAUCUCAAAACAAGUUGGUGAAUUGAUUGGUCCAAAAGCCUCAAGGUCUUUUGUUAUCCAAGGGAGAAAACUCGACCUAAAACCACAAAUCCACCAUGUGAGGAUAGCUUCAACAUGCUAGUGAGGGGUUAACCCUAUAAUAAGCAUGGAAGACUCAUUGUCCAUCACUAAGGAUAUAGGUGAGUAUUAUAUUAACCUCAAGGAUAACUCAAACCUAAUAGCUAAUGGUUAUGAAAAGUUUUGAUAAGAAGUGGCCAUUGAAACCACAAAACAUUUGAAUGAGUUGUAUUUACCAAUGAAAAGUAUUUACAAAAUAUGGUCAAAGUUGACUUAAGGGUUCAAUUCAAAAUAAGUGUUAUGAAAGGAAAGUUUGAAAAUCAAAAGCAUAAUGCUUAGGUUUCUAAUGUUUGAAAACAAAUGCUAAUGUUUGCACAAAAGUUUUGGUUUGGGUUAGAGUGGAGGGAAGAAGAAGAAUGGCUAAGUCCUAAACAUACAAAGAUGAAGGAAAAGAAAUAAGACCACAAAUGGAGUUUUCUUCUUGAGAUCAUAGUGAUGAUCCAAGUAGCUCCCAUCCUUUGGAGUAAGCAAGCAAAUAAGCAAAUACUCAAGCAAUCAAUCAAUCAAGCAAGCUCUUAGGAAUCUUCUAAUGGCUCUUGUAUCUCUUACUUUAGAUGCACAUGACAACGGAUCUUCAAUUUGGCUCAAAUGGGAAUCCCUAGCAAAAGAACACACACAUCAAAAAAUUCCACAAAACAAACAAAGAAUGGACAAGAGUGAGUUUAGAGAUUAGGUCAUUCUAAUUCAUCUUCAACAUUAAGUCCUUUUUACUCCAUUUUUGCAUAGGGAAUGUCCUAAAGUCUAAGUCCUUUUGUCCAUUUGAAUUUGGUUCACAACAAUCAAAACAAAACACAAGCACAAUAGUAUAUACACAAUUAUGUGCUCAAGUGAGCAAAAGGCAAAUUGCAUUAACAUAAACAUGUGCUCAAAUGAGCAAAGGGCAAAAGCAAAAGUGAGCAAAAGGCAAAUUGCAUUAACAUAAACAUGUGCUCAAAUGAGCAAAGGGCAAAAGCAAAUGAAUAAUAUGUACAAGAAUAUUAAAUUGCAUUAAUGUAAAGUGCAAGAAUUAAAUGUUAAUGGUUAAUUGUUAGUGUUAGUGUGCCAUAAGGCAAUUUAGCGCUAUGUUAAGCAAUCGUAAGUGGACUAAUGUAGUAGUCACACCUAUCUGAGGCCGGUCAAUAAAAAUAUAGGCAAUAAACACAAGUUAGAGAUCUUGAUUAGUGAAUCAAGCUUCUACAACUUGCCAUGCCAAAAGAAAAGAAGGAUGAUCUUGUAUUGAUUUAGGUUUUCAUGCUUGAUUAGGAAGUAACCUAUCCUUAAUGCAAACCCAUUCACUUGAUCUUUGGAUCAAGAUGAAUUAGAUUUGAAUCAAGGAAGGUUAAAUCUUCCAUACAUCAAGGCUAACCAUCAAUCUUUAACUCAUUGAUCAAAAAGAAAAAGAUGAAGAAGAAGAUGGAUAAGAAUGUACAUUAAUGGAAUUCAAAUGAAGUAAGAAAAUUGGAUUGACCAAAGACAAAUGGAAUCAAGGUCAAACACUAGUAAACAAAAGCAAAAUGAAACUUAGAAGUUAAGAAACAAAUAAAAUAUUUUUGGUAUUUUUCAAAAUUGAAAUAAUACUUGAAUUAAAAUAAACAAUUAAAGGUCAAACUUCAAAUCCAUCUCAAAUCAACUUUGAAAAGUCCAAAUGGAUCAUCCUAAGUGCAACAAGGUCAAACAAAGUUUGACAAAAAAAAUUCAGCAUUUUUAGAAACCAGAAACUAUUUUUAAUCAAUUAAAAUGAUAAAAAAUAACCUAAUUGAAUUAAAAUCUCAAAUCAAUUAAUAAAUGGAUGAGAAUAUUUUUCAUAGAUCCAUCAUCAUUCAAAGAGGUUGAGAAAAUAUUUUUGUAUUUUUUGGAUAUUGAAAACUAAUUAAAAUGAAUUAAAAAUAACUAGAAAAGAGAAAAUUCAUAAAAAAUAUCAAAUAAUAAAAUAAAAAAUAUUAAAAAUCAUUUUUAGAAACUAGAAAUUAAAAGAGAAAUAGUGUCAUUGGUCUCAUAUUUUUUGGAAUUAAAAUGAGAGAGAUAUGAUUUUUUGAAAUAAAAUGAACUAAAAAAAAUAAAAUGGAUUAAAUCAGAAAAUAGGAAAAAACACACGCGUUGGAUUCAAUUCGUUAAAUGAUCUGGCAGAUCAAACGGCUGUGGCAUGCGUGCGCAUCAUGGACCUAAGUCAACUGAGCAACAUAAACUUUUAAAUAAAGUCAUAAGAUCCAAGAGCCUUGAUUCAAUCUGGGAAUCAUCAUCAACGGCCUGGACCAAAACUGGAAAACGGACGGUGGUGUAUACCACCAUCUUCUCCGGCGAGACCAGAGAUUCCGGCCAAAGUUGCAGAGAAAAAUUCUUAACCAAAUGAAGCGAUCCUCAUAUCAUUGGAAAGCUAGGGUGAUGUACAUCACCCCUGUACCAUUAGUUUCUCCUCUAGAUCCUCAUAGAGAGAGAAAUCAGAGAGAGAAAAUCAUGGUGUUCAAUCUGAACUUCAUGGAUUUGCAAAAUUAAAAGCACAAUUCGAAUGCCUCUGAUGAGAGGACUUCAGCCAAGCAAAGAAACACAAGAAACAAGCAAUAAUUAGGGAGUUUCGAAGAAGAAAAGUUUGAACAUCCACCUCUGAAAUAUGGAUCUGGAAAGCACAAUUCCUCUUAGCUACUGAUUGCAGUGUGAUCUAGAGAUGAAGAUGAAGCAAGGCCAAGGAAUUUUGAGUCUAAUAAUCAACCAAUGAAGUUGAAAAUCAGAUCUGAAAUUUUGAAAUGAAAGAGUGAAUUCCUUUAGGUAUGGCUAUGGAGGGAGUUUUGCAGCAUAACAGGUGCCUUCAGGUUAUUGAAUUAUGAAGCCUAGCACUCUUAUUUAUAGCAAUUGGCAAAGGCAAGCAUGAAAGUUUCAUGUGCAUGAAUGAAGAGGGCCUCCAUGCAUGGGCCUGUACAGGCGCAUGGAGGGCCCAAAUCCUAUUGGUUUAGCAAGCUUAACAUCAACAAAUGAGUUUUGGACUUGCAGAUGAAGUGUAAUUGGCUUAUGCAAUAAGUUUUCAAGUAGUUUCCAAAAAUGCACCAAAAUGUUCUCUUCUUCGAAAAUGCCUUUUUCCAAAAAGAAAACAUGGCCUUAUGGGUAAUGGUUGGAAAGCUCUUGACAUGAGGAUCAAUUGUUAUGUUGAGAAAAACUUCAUUUGGAAUUGGGAAAUUAGUGAAAAUUGGUCAUAAAGUGCAAGGUGCAAAACAUGUGUAUGUGAAAAUUUCCAAAAUGGGCCAACUUCAAGCCCUUCUAUUUCAAUGAUGAAAGCUCCAAAUGACAACACCUUCAAUAUAAAAGUUGUAGAUAUUUCCAAGACAAUCAAGGUUGACUCAAAUUGUGCAUCAUUUGGAUUUUUGAUGAGGAAGUUAUGGGCACUUGAAGUUAGACCUUUUCACAUUUCAAUGCCUUUGGUCCAAAGUGACCUAUAAUGUUUUGCAUUAUCACAUGUAUUUAUUUUAGGAUUAUGAAACUUUGGUCAACAUAACAAAUGAAGUAUACAUCUUAAACUUUCCAAUUCAUUUGAUCCCACCUCAAUAUCAUGAAAAAUGAAUGAGUUAUGUUCUUGGGAAGUUGACCCAAAAUUAGGGUUUCAGUCAAAAUGACCUAUAAUGUUUUGAAAUGGAUGAUGACCUUCCAAGCUUCAAAUAAAUUUUUGAUGAAAAUGAAAGUUGUUUAUAUGGUUCUUAAUAACAUUUUUUCUCUUGGAGUCAUCUCCAUUUGACAAGCACAUUAAAAUUUAGGUCUCAGUGUACUUCAAAAUAGUCAGAUGAAUUAACUGAUUAACUUCUCAAGUCCAAACCUCAUAUCUUGAUGAAUUGAUGAUUAAAGACACUCAAAUAAGCUCAAAUAUGCAUGAAAUGAUGAAUUAAAGGACUUCCCUUGAUUGUAUUUGAUCAUGGGUUGAGGUUGCUUCAUGGGCAAGGCACAGUUGAUGCACAUAUGAAUUAGGGUUUCCUUGGGAAACAAUCCUCAAACCCCUUCGUUUGCUUUGAUCAAAUUGAUAAAUUGAGAUACUUGUGAGGCAUAUAUGAUGGAUGAGAACCUUGUGAACCAUUAUCAUCCUUGCUUUCACCUUCACCUGGCCAUAUCAAUGAGCAUAGGGUCUCCUAGGAGCCUUGGAUCUUAUGAUUGCUCAAGCUACAAAACAAACAAAGUUAGUGACAUAUUUUUGUGCUUUUGGUUAGUAAACAAAAUAAGAAAAGCAAUAAUAUACAAUUCAAGCAUGCUUGGAUGACAUAUUUUUGUGCUUUUGGUUAGUAAACAAAAUAAGAAAAGCAAUAAUAUACAAUUCAAGCAUGCUUGGUGGUCUCAAACCAACUCACACAAGUUCCCACCCUAGGGUUAGGAACCAAGAUGCUAUGAUCCUUGAGGCAAAUGCAAAUGCAAUGAUAUGAUGCCAUGAGGGAUCUUAGGGUCAAAAUUAGGGUCGUACAGAUGUCCCUAUUUAAGGUCAUUCUAGCCAGAGAUGUGAAGAUUAAAAUCUUCGUCUCGACGAGGUAGAAUGGGCUUAAAUAAUAUCAAAGAGACGAAUUUUGGUCCCUAAGAGAUCUCAUGAUGCAAAUGUAUGUAUGCAAGAGGUAAUACUUUGCGGGGAUAUAUGUCCACAAAGGAAAAGAGAUCCAGAGAAACUGAAAAUCCAUAUGAGUAAUACACUCAUAAAUGGGACAGAGACUCUAGGGGGAUAAAGGGAAAUAGAAUGUGUGAGCAGGUCACGACUUGAAACUUGCUGGGAGACACGAAGGGAUUCCAUAAAAAUAAAUAAAUGGAAAGACUCGAUUUGACGCAACGAUGCAUGUAUUGGGGAAUAUGCCAAUACAGCAAAACUUUCGGCAAAGGAUACUUCGGAUAGAAAUCCGGACUGAGGCUAGGAAAAUUCAUCAAGGGACUCCGAUGGGGAAUGUCCCAAGAGGACUCAACUGAGGAAAAAGCAACUGAGGUAUUACCUGUUACUGGGUAAUAAGCUCAAAGAGACAUGUGAUCAAACACCGGUAUAAGGGUGAGAAAACAAACAUGCUCGGGGAUAAUGAAUAUCUAAGACCGGUAUAAGGGUGAGAGAUAUCAAUCAUCCAAAAUCAUCUGAGGAAGAUAGAAAAAGGUAUAUUUCAACUCAGGAAAAUCUGACUCCACAAGGGACAACAAGUCAUAAUAGGGAGCAGAAAGGAAAGAGCACCAGGGAUACCAGUUACUAGGCAUAUAAUAGGUGCCCAACCAAGCGUCAAUUGGGGAAUAUUCCCAAAACACUCAUCAUCCGAAAGGAGGGCUGAAAAAAGAAAACUCGAUUACAGGAUGGACAUUCGAUUCCAUAAGGAAAUACGAAUCUUACUCAAUUGGGGAAGAAAAAGACUUCGACUGAAGAGCGCAUGAGAUAUAUUAUCUAUUACCGUCAGAAUGUAGAUAAAAUACUCGCAUGGAAGAUUAUCCACAACCGGUUAUUGGGUUAAUAGAGGAUAAGUCAACCGAAAAGAAAUGACAUCGGGAUACCGAAUACCAUAUAUAAAAUGAUGAUCAAUCAAAGGGGAGAAACGAUCAUCACGAACAAAAAGAGGUGAAUGAAAGAUGACUCGCCGGGGAUACAUUGUUUGAUCAGAGCAAUUAUCCAAGAGAUAUAUCAUUGGUUACUGGGAGAUGUACUCAAAAGGUGGAGGAAUAUCGAUACCGAAUAUUGGAUAAAGAUAACCAACGAAGAGGGGAUUACAUCUACCGGUUACUGGGUAGAAAACCACAGAAGAGUAACCGUCAUCGGUUAGGAUGAACAAAAUCAAGGUUAACUAUUCAAGGGGAUAAGAUGGGGUUUAAAACUACCGGUAUGAGGAUAGAAAACCACAAAGAUAGGACUUAUGACUACCGGUUGCUGGGUAGAAGGCCACAUAAUUUCGUCGGGGAAAAGAUGGAUAAUUACUAGUUACUGGGCAAUCAUUCAUCUAAACCACGGGGAAAUGCGGGGGAAAUAACAAGAGGAGUCAAAUUAGGAACGAACUAGAGAGACACAAUGAAACAAAACUCAACCCUAUGAGGAUAUAACUCAGGGGAUAAAUUCCAUCCCAGUACAUAUUUUAGGGGGAAACUGAAAUAACAAUCAUCCACGAGGACAUAACUCAGUGGGGAAUGUGGAAGAAAGGGUAGACACUUUCUGCCUAUGGGGCUGACUCUAUAUGGAGAGAUCAGACACCAACAUUUACUUGGGGACAUAUAUACCACCAACUAGCAGGAGAUAACAAACAAAGAUAUAUGGCAAAGGAUGCAACAUGAAUAUCUGAAUGUUAUAAUUAUGCAUGUAUAUGUGUGGUUUAUGUAUGAUGAAUGCUGACAAACAGCCAUUUCUAACACAACCAGACCCAGGGAUCAAAUGGACAAACAUCUGGUACUACAUCUCGAAAGAGAAAGCCAGGUCCACCGGGGAAACUGCCAAUCUGACGGGGGCAAAAAAUACCAGGAAACAGUGAUCUCUGUAGGGGAAAGAGAAACAGUCACUCCGCUGGGAAGGAAUCAACACAUCUUCCUCAGAAAUUCCAACGCCACUCUGAAAUCAGACAAAGUCUUGGCUGGGGAACUGAACAUGGAUACGAUCCGUCGUGGAAGCAAAUGUAUUGGGGAAAUUAUCCAGGGGAAGGAUGAACCUCUGUGGGGAACAACCACCGAUCAAAAAGUUUUAAAACUAACUCAAAUCCUUGCACUGCUGGAUAAAUCAUCUCUGCCGAGGAGAAGAGACACACUACUCCACUGGGGAUGGAAAGAUAAAUAUUUACGUCACUCGCUCUGCUUAGGAGGAAACAACAGACAGGUUCUAGUGAAACACUGCUGAGGACUGACCAGGAACUACCUGUAGGUGAUCAGUUGGAGAUAUCCUGCUUGGUGACCAAACUGAGGAGCUGAAAUGGGAUCAACCCUGUUGAGGAUGAACAAAGUCAAACCUGCUGGAUAUUCAUGUAGGAGAAUCCGCGGGGGAAGCUACAAAUCAAAUUGUUGAGAAUUCCACUCAUGUUGGGGAUUUCCUACUCACUUUGCGGGAGAAUUCCAAUCUGAAUGAGGGAAUACCAACUCCCUCGAAAAGAUAGCAUAUCAAUUUAUCAAUUUAUAAGGGAUUUUAGGUCUAUCCACCCAAGGGAUGACAACCAUAUAAUUGAUAACAUAGAUGCUAGAUCCAGCCUCGCUGAGGAGUUAUAAGAUUAAGGCCAAACUCUCUGGGGAUUUUGUGGGAUGUUAGAGAUGUACUCCUCCCAACAAAAUGGGACCAAGGCUCCAGACUCUCUGGUGAACUUGGCGAUGCUUAACUUUCUUUUGCGCUUGCGGAGGAGACAAUCUGAAAGAUAAUGAAGAGGAUACAAGUAUGCUGUGAAUAUGAACAAAUGUCUUACCCUUUUGGAGAUCAUACUAUCCUUGGGAGAGCACUGAAGAUGUUCCAAUUAUCCUUUCAGUCAUUGUGAAUGUUCACUUUGUUUAAAACAGUUUAUGAUUUUUUUUUAAAACAAUGAUAUUUAUCAAUUAAAAUAUGCAAUAUUUGUUGAACAGAAACAAAUAAGACUGCAAAGAAUUAUAUAAAGGCUCAAAUUUAGUUGAUAGAAUGGUAGUCUAAAAAUGGCAAGACUCCAAGGAUCUUUACAAAUUUGAAAUUGGUGAUAUAUAUUGGAAAAGGGCUACAUUGAACAUAAUGACCAUUUCUCCACCAACUCCGAGUCCAAUGUAUUUGAAGCUUCAGUUGACAAUGACUGAGCGAAAUUCUCUGACAGAAGACAACUUGUAGAACAAAGUCUUGUCAGGAUGCAGUUACUUGCCAAAUCCCGAAUUUUUGCCUAGAAUGCCCCAAGGUGAGGUACUCAAUCUAGCGGGAUACAUAUUCAUUUUUUAUGUCUCUAACUUUUACCUGGACCGUCCUUUCAGGUUUUCAAUCCACCGAGACACUCAUUUUUGCCUAAGCCGCCCUUUCGGGUUUUCAACUUAGCGAGCUAUUCUAUUUUUAUUUUUAGGCGAAGUAUUUCUUGACUGUAUCUGAAUUCACAGGAUGAUUGAAAUCCUCCUCAUCCAUAGUUGUAAGUAUCAAUGCACCGCCUGAAAAGGCUCUCUUGACAACAUAUGGACCUUCAUAGUUUGGAGUCCACUUGCCCCUGGAAUCGGGCGCGAAAGACUAAACUUUCUUGAGCACAAGGUCACCUUCUCGAAACACACGAGGUUUGACCUUCUUAUCAAAGGCUUUAUUCAUCCUUUGCUGAUACAACUGACCAUGGCACAUGGCAGUCAAUCUCUUCUCUUCAAUUAAAUUCAGCUGGUCAUAACGACUCUAAACCCAUUCAGCCUCGAUCAACUUGGCUUCCAUCAAGACUCUCAUUGACGGGAUCUCCACCUCUACUAGGAGCACAACCUCCAUGCCAUAUACAAGGGAGAAAGGGGUUGCCCCUGUUGAAGUGCGAACAGAUGUACGAUAUCCAUGCAAAGCAAAUGGCAGCAUCUCAUGCCAAUCUUUGUAUGUAACAACCAUACAUAUACAAGGGAGAAAGGGGUUGCCCCUGUUGAAGUGCGAACAGAUGUACGAUAUCCAUGCAAAGCAAAUGGCAGCAUCUCAUGCCAAUCUUUGUAUGUAACAACCAUCUUCUGGAUAAUCUUCUUCAUGUUCUUAUUAGAAGCUUCAACAACCCCAUUCAUCUUGGGUCUAUAUGGAAAAGAAUUAUGAUGUGCAAUCUUGAACUCACUACACAGCUCUUUCAUCAUCUUGUUGUUCAAGUUAGAUCCAUUAUCAGUAAUGAUCUUAUUUGGCACACCAUAAUGGCAUAUGAGUUGGUUCUUGAUAAACUUUACAACCACCUGCCUGGUCACGUUUACAUAUGACGCCGCUUCAACCCAUUUGGUGAAGUAAUCAAUUGCUACGAGAAUAAAUUUGUGCCUGUUUGGAUGCUUUCGGGUCUAUCAUGCCAAUCAUAUCAAUUCCCCGCAUGGAGAAAGGCCAUGGUGAUGAAAUCACAUUCAGAAGUGUCGGGGGAAUAUGAAUCUUAUAUGCAUAAAUCUUAAACUUAUGGCAUUUCUUCACAUACUUGCAGCAGUCAGACUCUAUUGUCAGCCAAUAGUAGCCUGCUCUCAAAAUCUUCCUUACCAUGGCAUGUCCAUUGGAAUGAGUUACAAAUGAACCCUCAUGGACUUCAGUCAUCAAUAUGUCUGCUUCGUGUCUAUCCAUGUAUCUGAGCAAAACCAUAUCAAAAUUUCUCUUAUGAAACACAUCGUCAUUGAGGUAGAAACUGCCAGAUAAUCUCCUCAAAGUCUUCUUAUCUUUAACAGAUGCCCCAGGCGGGUAAAUCUGACUCUGAAGAAAACACUUUAUAUCAUAAUACCAUGGCUUAUCAUCUUUCACUUCUUCUACUGCAAAUACAUGAGCUGGUCUAUCCAAGCGCAUCAUAGUGAUAUUAGGAACCUCAUUCGAAAGUCUCACCACAAUCAUAGAAGCAAGUGUAGCUAGUGCAUCUGCCAUCCGAUUCGCAUGUCGAGGAAUAUGAAGGAAUUCAACCUCAGUAAAAAAAGUUGAAAUCCUCCUCGCAUAAUCUCUGUAUGGGAUGAGGCAAGGCUGAUUUGUCUCCCAUUCACCCUUAAUCUGAUUAACAACAAGGGCCGAAUCGCUAUAAACAUCAAGAUGCUUGAUCCUAAGAUCAAUACACUCUUCCAAACCCAUAAUACAGGCAUCAUACUCUACCAUAUUAUUCGUGCAUUUGAAAGUUAGCCUUGCUGUAAAAGGAAAAUGUGUGCCCUGAGGAGUAAUAAUCACUACCCCAAUACCAUUUCCAUAUUGAUUUACAGCGCCACCAAACACCAUGCUCCAUCGAGAACCAGGCUUUGGUCCUUCAUCGAGCGUAGGCUCAUCGCAAUCUUUCAUUUUCAAAUACAGAAUCUCCUCGUCUGGGAAGUCGUACUGAACUGAAUGAUAAUCCUCAAUUGGUUGAUGUGCCAAGUGGUCAGCCAAGAUACUACCUUUAAUAGCCUUCUGAGCCCGAUACUCAAUAUCAUACUCAGACAACAACAUCUGCCAACGGGCAAUCCUCCCAGUUAAAGCAGGCUUCUCAAAGACAUACUUGAUUGGAUCUAUUUUGGAUAUCAACCAAGUCGUAUGAUUCAACAUAUACUGGCGUAAGCGCUUAGCAGCCCAAGCCAAAGCACAACAUGUCUUCUCAAGCAUCGAGUAUCGAGACUCACAAUCAGUGAACUAAGUCGUAUGAUUCAACAUAUACUGGCGUAAGCGCUUAGCAGCCCAAGCCAAAGCACAACAUGUCUUCUCAAGCAUCGAGUAUCGAGACUCACAAUCAGUGAACUUCUUACUCAGGUAGUAGAUAUCACACUCUUUCUUCCCUGUUUCAUCUUGCUGACCAAGGACACAACCCAUAGAGUCUUCAAGAACUGUCAUAUACAUAAUAAAGGGUCUCCCUUCCACGGGAGGAGAUAGAAUCGGAGGCUCGGAAAAAUACUCUUUAAUACUGUCAAAGGCCUUCUGGCAAUCCUCGGUCCAAUCAUGACGCUGAUCUUUCCGGAGGAGCUUGAAUAUCGGCGCACAUGUGGUAGUCAUAUGGGAUAUAAAUCUGGAAAUAUAACUCAAGCGGCCAAGAAAACCUCGGACUUGUUUCUCAGUUUUGGGCGCAGGCAUCUCUUGUAUUGCUUUGACAUUGGCAGGAUCAACUUCAAUACCUCUUUCCCUGACAAUAAAGCCCAAUAACUUGCCGGAACGGACCCCAAAUGUACACUUGUUCGUAUUCAGGCGAAGCUUAUACUUCCUCAAAUGCUGAAAAAGCUUCAACAAGUGCUCAACAUGUUUAACUUCCGUUCUUGACUUCGCAAUCAUAUCGUCAACAUAUACCUCGAUUUCCUUAUGCAUCAUAUCGUGAAAUAAGGUGGUCAUAGCACGUUGAUACGUGGCUCCGGCGUUCUUCAAACUGAAGGGCAUCACUCGAUAACAGAAUGUUCCCCAAGGUGUGAUGAAUGUUGUCUUCUCCAUAUCCUCGGGUGCCAUUUUAAUCUGGUUAUAUCCGGAAAAUCCGUCCAUAAAUGAGAAGACAUUGAAUAUAGAUGUAUUAUCUACCAACAUAUCAAUAUGUGGUAGAGGGAAAUCAUCUUUUGGACUAGCUUUAUUCAAGUCUCUAUUGUCCACACACAUUCGGACUUUUCCGUCUUUCUUAGGCACGGGCACAAUAUUGGCCACCCAUUGAGGAUAUGUAGAAGUCACCAAAAACCCCGCAUCAAUUUGCUUCUGAACUUCUUCUUUAAUCUUCACUGCCAUGUCAGGAUGAGUUCUUCUGAGCUUCUGCUUCACAGGUACAUACUCAGGCUUCAAAGGCAGGAAAUGUUGCACGAUAUCAGUAUCCAGACCAGGCAUGUCUUCAGAUGACCAGGAAAAGACGUCGAUGUAUUCUCGUAGCAACUCAAUCAACCCCUUCUUCACAAAUUCUUCAAGGAGUGCCCCAAGCUUCACUUCUCGCACACAAUCUUCAAAUCCCAAGUUGACUGUUUCCAGAUUUUCAAGAUGUGGAUGAAUGAUCUUCUCUUCGUGCUCAAGUAGACGGGUAAUCUCGUCAGGAAUCUCUUCAACAUUAUCUUCUUCAGACUCAAAUACAGGGAACUCAAAGUUGGGAGAUGGUGUUGGAUCAUUAUGUUCAAUGAUUUUGGAUAUAAAAGAGAUUUCAGAAUUCAAGCAAGGAAAAUCAUUAUGCAGAUGAAAAGAUUGAUUUUAUUCUAUUUUUAGGGUUUUAUGUGAUCACCAAUUUCAUGCAAAAAAGCAAAACAUGAAAAUAAUUGGAAAAAACAAACAUUUAACAUGAAUUUAUUGAAUGAAAUAUCAUUGUAUUUAUGAGACAACAAUGUCAUCACUCCUCCUUUUGGCAUGGGAGAAGGGUUUUAAACAAAAGGUGAACUUUACGUUGACUUAUGGACAACUGUUGGAACAUCAACAACGACCCAGUUAUUACAGACCCCUCCAGGGAUGACAAAGUUGUCAGAAUCUUCAUCUGCAUCCUCUUCCACAAUAGCAGCGGCUUCUUCGUCUUGGACGGUGUGGAUGAAACCACCACUCUGAAACAGCCCAUGCUUGUUGAAAGUGCCCGAAGAAUACCCUAUGCCAGCCCAGGACUUGUUGUCUUCCAUCUUGAUCAUUUGUCCUAAACCAGUAGUUGUGCCAUGCUCAAUGGCCAACUUAGCAUCAUUGUAGGACGUAAAUGAAGAAGUUCCUUUCUUAGAAGGCUCAGCAAUAGAUAAGGCUUGGAACGGCGUCCCAACCUCAUCCUCAGCAUCUAUAUAAGAAAAGGAAGACAGGUGGCUAACCAAGAGAGCCUUCUCUCCCCCUACCACCACCAGCUUUUUGUUCUUGACAAAUUUCAAUUUCUGGUGUAGGGUGGAUGUCACGGCGCUUGCCUCGUGAAUCCAUGGUCUUCCUAACAGAUAGCUAAAUGAUGGGUGGAUAUCCAUGACCUGAAAAGUGAUCUGGAAAUCACUUGGUCCAAUCUUGACUAGGAGUUCAACCUCUCCAAUCACGGUCUUGCGGGAUCUAUCAAAAGCUUUUACAACCACUUCACUCUACCUCAUGGGAGGCCCCUGGUAUGACAGUCUAGCAAGAGUGGAUUUUGGCAACACAUUCAGUGAUGAUCCAGUGUCUACCAGCACAUUAGACAUGGCAUCAUCCUUAUAACUCAUAGAUAUGUGAAGUGCCAAAUUGUGGUCUCUUCCCUCCUCGGGGAGAUCAGCAUCAUAAAAACUCAAAUUGUUACAAGCAGUAAUGUUUGCAACAAUACUAUCGAAUUAUUCUAUUGUGACAUCGUGAUCUACAUACGCCACAUCCAACAUCUUCUGCAGAGCUUCUCGGUGUGGUUCUGAGUUUAUUAACAAAGAUAGCGCAGAGAUCUUUGAUGGCAUUUGUAGAAGCUGAUCUACAACGUUGUAUUCACUCCUCUUGAUGAGCCUCAGCAUCUCAUCACAAUCCUCUUUUAUCAUGCCAUUCUGGCCAGUAGGGAAAUGAGUUUUUACGGCGGUGGCAGGUUUAUUAGCAUUAAGUGCCAGAUUCAGAGCAACAAGAGAAUUUCAAACCGAACGAACAACACAAUCAGCAACAUCAUCCCUUCUGGUUUCAGCCUGGGGUUUCGGUGGAGCCGAGAAAACGAGACCACUACGGUCAGGCCGCUGACAUCAACAAUAUUAACCACAGAGGUAGAGGGCAAGGGCACCUCCAUCCCAUCUUCCAAUGCCACAACAUUGUAACGAUAGGGGACAGCCUUAUUAGAAGAAUAUGGCACAUGGCCAGCUUGUUUGAUUAUGAGAGAGGGGGAAGCCUUCUGCUUGCUGCCAUUAUAUCGGAUGACAACAGGCUCUAGGAUCCUGAAUACUGGUAAUAUCACAUUAACUUCAUCAUCCCCGUCGCGAUUCUGAAGUAUUUCUAUUACACCUUCAUCCAUCAUUUCUUGGAUGUCUUUUCGGACUUGACGAUACCCCAUCUGAUUGACAGUGCAAACACGGAAUCUGUCAUGGUGAUGCUCAUAAUGACUGUAUUCACACAACAUUCUGUGCAUCUCGACCAAAGAUUGUCGCAUAUGGCUGACAUAUCGGACCUUAUAUUUACCAGGGCAGCCCUGGACCAUGUUGAUAGCAGAUUUCCCAUGCUCGGGCAAUGGGUUCUUCUUGACGUUAGGACCUACGUCCUCGAAACACAAUAUACCGCUCAUAACAAGGUCUUGAACCUUGGUCUUCAGCGGGUAGCAGUUCUCCACAUCAUGUCCGGGAGCGUCGAAAUGAUAAACACAAUGUAGCUCUGGCUUAUACCCCCACUGAGGGUUGGUAGGUAUAGCCGGUGGGUCACGUGGAGUGAUAAGUUUCCUCUCUAUCAAAGAGGGAUAAAGCUCGGCAUAGGUCAUGGGAAUAGGAUCAAAACUGACCCUCUUCCAAUCAUAGCUUGUACUGGUCUGAUUAUUGUUUCGAGGCAGGUAGGCCUACUGUUGAGGACGGUGCUGUUGUUGUUGAUAUUGUUGGUGUUAUUGUUGUUGGUUCUGAUUAUUAUGCUAAUAGUGUUGGUUUUCUCUGAAAAUAGGUGCUAUGUGAGCCACCUGAUGCUGAUUACCGGCGGGACGCACGGUCUUCCUCUUCACAGAGGGUCUUAUGGGUUUAACAUGGGAGGUCACAGCAUGUGCCUCACCAUCUUUCUUCUUUACAAAUGCCCCAUAUUGUUUGGCAGAAGAGCAUUCUUCUCUAGUCAGGAGCCCUUCCCUGACUCCUUCCUCCAAAUGCAUCCCCAUAUUCACCAUCUCGGUGAAGUCAGAAGGAGCGCUGGCAAUCAUCCGCUCAUAAUAGAAUGAGCUCAAGGUCUUCAGGAAGAUCUUGGUCAUCUCUUUCUCUUCCAGCGGAGGCACAAUCUGUGCAGCUAGUUCUCGCCACCUCUGGGCGUACUCCUUGAAAGAUUCCUUGUCAUUCUGGGACAUGGCUCUCAAUUGAUCCCUAUCGGGAGCCAUAUCCACGUUAUAUUUGUACUGCUUGAUGAAAGCUUCACCAAGGUCAUUGAAGGAUCGGAUGUUCGCGUUGUCCAAACCCAUGUACCAUCCCAGGGCGGCACCGGACAGGCUGUCCUGGAAAUAAUGAAUGAGGAGAUGAUCAUUGUCGGUCUGAGUCGACAUCUUCCUCGCAUACAUAACCAAGUGGCUGAGAGGGCAAGUAUUUCCCUUGUACUUUUCAAAGUCAGGUACUUUGAACUUUACAGGGAUCUUGACAUUAGGAACCAGGUAGAGUUCAGCAGCAGACUUGCGAAAGAGGUCCUUCCCUCUGAGAGUUUUGAGUUCCUUACGGAGCUCAAGGAACUGAUCAUUCAUAGCAACCAUCUUUUCAUACACAUCUGGGCCCUCAGACGGCUUAGAGUGGUAAAUGGUGUCGUCUACCCUUGGCAUAAUAUGCACGACCGGAGGUGGAACGGCGAGGACCGGGCAAGAUGCCGGCAGAGAAGCAAACAUGGGGGCAAGACCCUCAGGAACAAAAUUCGCGGGCAUCCCCCAGGGAAACCCGGCUGGCAUAGCAGUUGGCACGAAAUGGGCACUAGCAGCAGACACUAUCGAGGAGGCAAUCUCAGAGAUGACUGUCCUCUAGGGAGGAGUUGAUGGCGUUGGAGACGACUGGCCUUGGGCGGCCAUGAAAGACUCCAUCAGGGCAAUCAAUCUCGCCACUUCCUCCUUGAGUUCUCUGUUCUCUUACUCUAAGUGAUCCAUCAGUCUUGAAGAGUUGGCUUUGGUGUAGCACCGGUGAGUCAGCUUGUCUUCAAAAUAAAUGAAGAACACAGAGUUAGACCAUUGAACAAGAAGCCUGGAGUAAAACCUGCUUAAGCACAUGAUGCAUGCGAUGCUUGUGCAUAUGAUUUAUUUUAUUUAUCAGAGGAACUUUAGAGUCCUAUUUGCAAAUAUUGAAAAUAUUAAUCAUUUAGACAUAUAUGGAAAUAUCAUAUCAAUAAUAUCUGGAAAAAAACUUUACACCAAAGAAGUACAGUCUUGGUAACCAAUAUACAAUACAAGAGAGAAGGAAAAUGAACAUCCUAUGGAACCCUAGAAACAAUCGUCUAAAGCUCUCGAGACUGGAAGAUAAGCUGCACGAAGCCUCUUCACCUUUCUCUCGUAGGCUGCCUCCAUAUCUGCCUUCUCUUUGGCGAGUCGAUCGUACUUCCUCUUCCAGAACUUGGAAGACUGAGGAAGAAGAAAAGUCACCACAUCAUCAGGCUCAUCGAUAACCUGAUGCUCAAGGAACUCUAUCAACGCAUCCUUAUCUUUAAGCUGCUGAAGUAGCUCCUCUCGCUCAUGGAUCCAAGCAUGCGAGCCGUCUUCGUUUCUCAACUCUUCUACUCAUUGGUCAGGGAGGGUUGAAGGCCCAACCACAACCAAAGGUGUAGGUCUCGGAUACUCGUAAGGCAUAAGGUACUCGGAAGCUCUCCUCCUCACCCACGAGGUAUAGGGUUCCAAAGCAAUACAGUUCUUCGGACCAAGCUCUUUCCUUCCCUGCCUACGGAUCUUGCGCCAAGCGCGGACCAUCCUGUCCUUCAAGCCUUGGGGAUCUUUACUCUCUUGAAAGAAUACACCUUCUAGUAGAAUGUUAUUGGGUUUAUCCUUUAAGGGGAACCCAAGCUGACGACGUGCUAAAAUAGAGUUGUAGUUAAUCCCGCCACAUGUACCAAGAAGAGGUGUGAGCAAAUUCUUUACUUUGAAUAAGUUUUGAAUGAUAGCAAAUUGUGUGAUCAUUGUCUAAUUAUUGGUUGUGCAUUAUUUUACAUGUUUCAUUUGUGUUUUUAGCCUAUACUAUUGUUUCGUAAUUAUUCUAUGUAUCGAUACAUACGAGCUUUGUAUCGAUACAUGCUUAGUUAAAAUGUUCUAUGUAUCGAUACAUACGAGCUUUGUAUCGAUACAUGCUUAGUUAAAAUGUUCUAUGUAUCGGAUACAUCGAGCUUGAUCGAUAAUGCUUGUAUAAUUAUAUAAAAUUAAUCAAAGCUACAGUAUGUAUCGAUGCAUAUUCUUUUGUAUCAAUACAUAAUUCUGUUUUGUCUACUAACAGCUUCUGUCUUUCACAUAUAAGAAGUAUUUUGACAGCUCAGUUAAAAACACACGAAUUCAGAAGUGAAAAACAGUUGUAGCACAAAUCAAAGGAGUGUGUAGCAACAAUUGUUUUUGAGCAGUUAGAAACUUGAAAGAGACUUCAUCUUCUUCAUCUUCUUCAUCUUCUCAAUCUCUUUUCUUCAAGAACAUCAACAUAUAAUCAUUCUUGUUCUUUGGAUUAAAGGAUCAACGAGAUAACGUUCAGUGGAACGUUCAAGGAUCUAGCUGAGGUGUUCAGUGGAACGAUCGAGGAUCUAGCUGCGUUGAAAGUUGAAGGGGGUUUCGAGGAAAAACCAAAUGGUUUGUCCUUCAAGAAUUGGAGUGUUCUUGCGGGUUUAUUAGUCACGUUUGCUGAACAGAUUCAGCCGUAGCGUAGGGUUUGGAAAUUGGGUAAUUUCGCAAACAGGUCGUGGAACCGGUGAAUUGUUUGCAAUUUCUUGCAGGAAAUUCUUGAUCGAGCUCAGAUCAAGUGGAGGUUUUACAGAGAAGAAGAUCUUGAUAUUUAGAUUUCUUUCUUUUGUAUUGUAACCUUAUAUCACGAAUUCGGCAUAUAACAGUUCUCAAUUUCAUUUGAAAUUGAGAGGGAGACGUACCCACACGCGAGGACGACAGUGGGGAACUUCCUUACCAAAUCUCUGCGUAUCGUAUUCUUUCCUUAUCUCUCUUUACUUUUUCAACAGUUUUGUGAUUUCAGUUGGUGUAUUGUGGCUGUACAUUUCGUGAUACAAUAGUGGCAAGAAAACUUCUUUAUCUAAACUCCACCACUGUUCAUCAUUGAUCACACACACACCAAAUGUUUGACAAAACUGUCAGCUGAGUUUUAUUCAUUGGAAUUAGAAUUUAGUGAUAAGUGCAUUUGAUUUGAUAAUAUUCUGGUGUUAAUAAUCUCUAUCGUUCUAAUUCAAAUCCAGCAAUAAACUCGCGUGUCCGGUUUUCUAGUAGCGGUUCAGAAUAGACGGAAGUCGAUUCGGGACUGUAAUUUUCCGCUAAGUAUCAAUAACUCUGAUAAGGAUUUUUAAAUCCGUUUAUUUUAAAAGAGGUGAUCUAUUCACCCCCCUCUCGAUCACUAGCCACACCGUCUAACAAGCGGUAUCAGAGCGCCGGUUCGCUGGUGUUCUGUGGCUGCCUGUAACGAUAUGGAUUCUGAACCAAAGGGGGCGUAUAAUAGAGCGCCGAUUUUCAACGGUGAAAAUUACGGCUACUGGAAAGACUGCAUGCGAGUUCAUAUAAAUUCUGUUGAUAGGCUAGUAUGGGCUGCCAUUGAAAAUGGUCCUUUUCAAAUUACUAUGACAAAUGCGGCUGGCGCCAUAGUUCCUAAACCAGAAGGUGAUUAGAAAUGAGAAAGAUAGAAAAAGUGGUCGAGUGAUUGGAGAGCUCGAAAUAUGCUAUUUCAGCACUUGGUGUUGAUGAGUAUUAUCGGGUAUCCCAUUGCACGACAGCUAAAGAAAUGUGGGAUGCUUUAGAAGUUGCCCAUGAGGGUACUACUGAAGUAAAACAGUCCCGCAUUAACAAACUCAAUCAAGAGUUUGAGCUCUUUCGCAUGAAACAAGGAGAAUCUAUCUCCGACAUGCAAAAGAGAUUUAUUCAUCUCACUAAUCGUUUGAAUGCACUUGGAAAACCUGUUUCCAAUGAAAUAGCUACUAAUAAAUUUCUGAGAUGUCUUAGCAGGGAAUGGCAACCUAAAGUAACAACUAUUAAGGAAGCCAACGAUCUAACGACACUUACGAUUACAACUCUGUUUGGAAAGUUGGAAGAACAUCAACAAGCAUUAGAAAGUCUUGAAAAGUUUGAGAACAAAAGUAAGAAGGAAAAGGAGAAGAAGAGAGACAAAAAGGGAGAGAAGAAGCCAAUAGUUCUUGUGGCCUCUAGCUCUAAGUCCUCACGAAAAGAGCAAAGUGACAAUGAUUCUAGUAGUGACAAAGAUUCCGAUGAUGAGGAAAUGGGACUUUUUGUAAGGAGAUAUAAUAGAUUCAUUCGAAAGAAUGGAGUCAAGCAUUCCGACAAAAACCUCAUGAAGUUUCAAAGACAAUCUACAGAUUCAAAACAGGAAGAGAAUAAGAAGAGUAGAGGAAAAGGAUCUUGUUUUAAUUGUGGUAAAUCUGGACAUUAUAAAAUAGAUUGUCCUAUGAAGUAUAAGGAUCAAGGAAAAGCUCCACCAAAAGGGUACAACAAACAAAGAAGAGCUUACAUUGCAUGGGAAAGUGAUAGUGAUUCAUCAAGCACACAAAGUUCAAGUGAUAGUGAUGAAACCGCAAAUCUGUGCCUUAUGGCUCACACCAAAAAUCUGUCCUACCACAAGAAGAAAAUCAAUGAUAAAAAGGUAAAACAAGCCUAUUAUAAUAAUUUCUCUUCUAUGUCUUUUUCUGAACUGAAAAUAGCUUUUGAAAAACUGCAUAACGAAGCUGUAGAUGCUUUUAAAAGAUUAUCUUCCGAUAAACAAAUUUUUUCAUUUCUGGAAGGUAAAGUAUACAAAGCUGAAAAAGAUUUAGAAUGGUUAAAAGCUAGUAUUGCAGAAAAUUCAAAAAAUAUUGACAUUGAUGGAUGUAGUAAAGUUGGGUAUUGUGAAGCUUGUCAUAUUUGGCAACAAGAGGUAAACACUCUCAAGGUCAAAUUGGAAAAAGCUUUACAACCUAAGGUUACUUAUGCCGUUGACUCUAGGUUGUUUAAGAAGUCAUUAAAUCCACCAUAUGCAAAAUACUCUUUUAUUCCAAAGGAUUUAAUGAACAAGAAUAAACAAACACAUCAUCAUGGUUUAUGUCAUUAUUGUUGUCGUGCUGGCCAUACCAUUGAGAAAUGCAAGUUUAGGAGAUUUCUUGUUCCUAAAGGUAUUUAUCAAUGGAAGCCAAAAGGCAACCAUGUUAGCACUUACCCACUUGGACCCAAUGAAAAUUGGGUACCAACUUCUCUCUUUUGAUAUUGUAGGAUGAGUGCCUUGCUUCCGUAGAUAGGAGAUGGUUUCUUGACAGCGGUUGCUCAAGGCACAUGACCGGUGACAUAUCGCUUUUUAUAGACUUCAAAGCAAAGAAGAAGGGAUAUGUUACUUAUGGAGACAAUAACAAAGGAGCUAUACUUGGCAAAGGUAGUGUAGGUAAUCCCUCUACCACUACUAUUUCUGAUGUCCAUUUAGUAGAGGGGCUUAAACACAAUUUGUUAAGCAUAAGUCAAUUGUGUGACAAGGGUUAUAAAGUUUCUUUCACAAAAACUUGCUGCAUAAUUGAACAUGCUGAACAGAACGUUGUGUUUAAGGGUGUAAGAGUAAACAAUAUCUAUAUGCUUGACCUUUUUGAUGUAUCUUUAACAAGUACUAAAUGUCUAGUUACCUUGAAUGAUGAUUCUUGGCUUUGGCAUAGACGUUUAGCGCAUGUUAGUUUUGAUUUGCUUAAUAAGGUUGUAUCUAAGGAUCUAGUAGUCGAUCUUCCAAAAAUAAAAUUUUCAAAAGACCACCUAUGUGACGCGUGCCAAAUGGGAAAACAAACGAGGGUCUCUUUUAAAUCUAAAAAUGUAAUUUCAACUUCACGAUCCCUUGAGCUUCUCCAUAUGGAUCUCUUUGGACCUUCUAGGACAAAGAGCAUAGGUGGAAAUUAUUAUGGUUUUGUAAUCGUUGAUGACUAUUCUAGAUUUACUUGGACUAUAUUCCUUCAUAGGAAAGAUGAAACUUUUUCUGCUUUUAACAAUUUUGCAAAUCUGUCCCAAAACAAAAUGAAUUCCAAAAUAGUUACAAUUCGUAGCGAUCAUGGUGGUGAAUUUCAAAACUAUCACUUUGAUAAGUACUGUGACAAGUAUGGUAUUAAGCAUAACUUUUCAGCUCCUCGAACUCCACAACAAAAUGGCGUUGUGGAGCGUAAAAAUCGUGUUUUAGAGGAGUUGGCAAGAACAAUGCUAAAUGAGGGUGGAUUACCAAAAUACUUUUGGGCUGAUGCAGUUAGCACAGCUUGUUAUGUUUUAAACAGGAUCUUAAUUCGUCCUAUUUUAAAUAAAACUCCUUAUGAGCUUUUAAAAGGAAGAAAGCCAAACUUGUCACAUCUUCACGUAUUCGGUUGUAAGUGUUUUGUUUUGAAUAAUGGUAAGGAAAAUAUUGGGAAGUUUGAUGCAAAAGCGGAUGAAGGUAUCUUUCUUGGAUACUCACAAUCAAGUAAAGCAUAUAGAGUAUAUAAUAAGCGUUUACUUACUGUUGAAGAAUCUGUCCAUGUUUCUUUUGAUGAGUCUUAUCCGAAAAGUGUCGGAAAAGGUAUUUCUUUUGAUGACGCAGGUGUAUCUACAGAAGACAUACUCAAGGAAGCUGUUACGGAAACUGAUCAGUCCAGAACAGUUGCCCAUGAGAAGGAGGAAGAUACUAGUCAUGAAGAAGAUGAGGAAGAAAGGACAGCUGAAGUGAAUGACCUUCCACCAGCUUGGAAAUCUUCAAAAGACCAUCCUAUUGACAACAUCUUGGGAGAUAUUUCAAAGGGAGUAAUGACUCGUUCUAAGAUAAGUAAUUUUUGUUCUCACUUCGCUUUUGUUUCACAAGUAGAACCUAAAAAUGCCAAAGAGGCCUUGAUUGAUGAAUUUUGGCUAAUGGCCAUGCAAGAAGAGCUUAAUCAAUUUAAAAGAAAUGACAUUUGGGAACUUGUCCCUCGUCCGCGAGAUCAUCAUAUCAUAGGUACUAAAUGGGUUUUUAGAAAUAAGCUUGAUGAAAACGGAGUGAUAACUAGGAACAAGGCACGUUUAGUAGCACAAGGGUAUAACCAAGAGGAGGGCAUAGACUAUGAGGAAACUUAUGCUCCAGUUGCUCGCCUUGAAGCUAUACGUCUCUUGCUUGCCUAUGCGUGUUCUAAUAAUUUUAAGCUUUACCAAAUGGACGUAAAGAGUGCGUUUCUAAAUGGUGUCAUAAAUGAAGAGGUAUAUGUCUCACAACCUCCUGGUUUUGAGAAUGCUGAAAAUCCAGAUUAUGUUUACAAAUUAAAACGAGCUUUGUAUGGUCUUAAACAAGCCCCUCGGGUUUGGUAUGAAAGGCUUAGCAAAUUUCUAAUUGAUCAUGGAUAUUCAAGAGGUAAAGUGGAUAAUACUCUCUUUAUUAAACACAAGGGAAAGCACAUUCUUUUAGUUCAAGUUUAUGUAGACGAUAUAAUUUUUGGUUCAACUAACACACACUUGGUCGAAGAAUUUUCUAAGGUUAUGCAGGGUGAAUUUGAGAUGAGUCUUAUGGGGGAGCUGAAUUACUUCCUAGGUCUUCAGAUAAAGCAACUUGAUGAGGGUACAGCAGUAUGUCAAACAAAGUACUGCAGAGAACUACUCAAGCGCUUUGGAAUGAACGACUCAAAAUCAAUUGACACCCCUAUGCCUACCAACGGAAAUCUAGAUAAAGAUGAGCAUGGUAAGAGUGUAGAUGUCAAAAAGUUUAGAGGUAUGAUUGGG